UACCAGCCCCCCGAGUGGUCGGGACGAUUAUUGGGCCUAAAGCAUCCGUAGCCGGUCCUGCAAGUCUUCCGUUAAAUCCAGCUGCUCAACAGAUGGGCUGCGGGGGAUACUACAGGGCUAGGAGGCGGGAGAGGCAAGCGGUACUUUAUGGGUAGGGGUAAAAUCCGUUGAUCCAUAGAAGACCACCAGUGGCGAAGGCGGCUUGCCAGAACGCGCUCGACGGUGAGGGAUGAAAGCUGGGGGAGCAAACCGG
rnacentral:rRNA from 1 species